GACGAACGCUGGCGGCGUGCCUAAUACAUGCAAGUUGAGCGCUGAAGGUUGGUACUUGUACCGACUGGAUGAGCAGCGAACGGGUGAGUAACGCGUGGGGAAUCUGCCUUUGAGCGGGGGACAACAUUUGGAAACGAAUGCUAAUACCGCAUAAAAACUUUAAACACAAGUUUUAAGUUUGAAAGAUGCAAUUGCAUCACUCAAGGAUGAUCCCGCGUUGUGUUAGUUAGUUGGUGAGGUAAAGGCUCACCAAGGCGAUGAUACAUAGCCGACCUGAGAGGGUGAUCGGCCACAUUGGGACUGAGACACGGCCCAAACUCCUACGGGAGGCAGCAGUAGGGAAUCUUCGGCAAUGGACGAAAGUCUGACCGAGCAACGCCGCGUGAGUGAAGAAGGUUUUCGGAUCGUAAAACUCUGUUGGUAGAGAAGAACGUUGGUGAGAGUGGAAAGCUCAUCAAGUGACGGUAACUACCCAGAAAGGGACGGCUAACUACGUG
rnacentral:rRNA from 1 species